UAAUCCCCAGAAUGUGUCCCAGCAGAAUACCUACCUUCGAUGGAGGGUGGUCUCGGAGAGAGUUUCGUCAGGAAACGUUUAAGACUCAGAAAAUCCUCUAUAACUUGAGAAAAUCAGAACCACAUGUUCCACUUUGAUAAGCCCACAAUAAAAAA